rnacentral:pre_miRNA from 1 species
UCAUUUAGGGCCUGAUCCAGAGUCUAAUGAGUUAAAUGAAAGACUUUCCAUUGACUUCAAUAGACUUUGGAUCAGGCCCUUAGGUA